AAUCUGCGAGUGUUUCUAUGCUGGAAUUUGUUUGUGUACUGUAAGUAUUCCAGUUGAUUUUGCGUUUGAGGCUUGUAUUCAUUUUGCUUGAUCCUUCUUCAGUGCUGUCACAGAAAACUGCGGCCGAUGAUUCCAGUUUGACAGGAAUUUUCUUGGGAAAGGAAAAGGAGAAUCCUAUUUUUUGUCCACAGGCCAGGAUAUUCUGCAUUCAAGUAUUCAAACAACCUGCACUGUUAAGGAAACAAGGGAUAAUAUUGGUCUGACAACUGCCCUAUAUUGUGGUGGAGAACAGCAAUUAAAGGGUAAAGAUUGGUGAGAGGGAUAUUCAUGCCAAGGCCCUGCCAAUAUGAAGGGACUGAAAUUGGCCAUAAAAGAGAGUGGUCGUUCCAUUUAAGAUGCAGAGAUGGACAUUGCAUUUGAGGAGAAACAAUGCUUUUCCAUAAAUUCUACCUGAAAAGGAAGCGUAAUGUAUUCGAUAUUGAAAAAGCUAAUUGCAUUUGUUAUUUCUUUGCAAGUGGGACUGCAGCUAUCAUGAAAAUUGCAAUGUAAAAAAAUACAGUGUUGGAGAAGGGUAUACAGGGUUGAAGAGCUGGAGGUGACAAAGAAAGAAAGGGUGAACACAUGGAGGGAUUUGGUAAAAGGAUGAGAAUUUUUAAAUUGAGGAUUUGCUGGACUGGAUCAGUGAGCACACCAGUGAUGUCACUUGUUGCGGAUUAGGAUAUGGACAGCAGAGU